rnacentral:rRNA from 1 species
UACGGGGGGGGGCAAGCGUUGUUCGGAAUUACUGGGCGUAAAGGGCUCGUAGGUGGCCAACUAAGUCAUACGUGAAAUCCCUCGGCUUAACCGGGGAACUGCGUCUGAUACUGGAUGGCUUGAGGUUGGGAGAGGGAUGCGGAAUUCCAGGUGUAGCGGUGAAAUGCGUAGAUAUCUGGAGGAACACCGGUGGCGAAGGCGGCAUCCUGGACCAAUUCUGACACUGAGGAGCGAAAGCCAGGGGGAGCAAACGGG